rnacentral:rRNA from 1 species
CCUACGGGCGGCAGCAGUGGGGAAUAUUGGGCAAUGGGCGCAAGCCUGACCCAGCAACGCCGCGUGAAGGAAGAAGGCCCUCGGGUUGUAAACUUCUUUUGUCAGGGACGAAACAAAUGACGGUACCUGACGAAUAAGCCACGGCUAACUACGUGCCAGCAGCCGCGGUAAUACGUCGGUGGCAAGCGUUAUCCGGAUUUACUGGGUGUAAAGGGCGAGUAGGCGGGAGAGGAAGUCAGAUGGGAAAUUCCAGGGCCCAACCCCGGAACUGCCUUUGAAACUGUUGUUCUUGAGUGAGGGAGAGGCAGGCGGAAUGCCGUGUGUAGCGGUGAAAUGCGUAGAUAUACGGCGGAACACCAGUGGCGAAGGCGGCCUGCUGGACAUUAACUGACGCUGAGGCGCGAAAGCGUGGGGAGCAAACAGGAUUAGAUACCCUUGUAGUC